GGUGGGUUGGCUCAGUGGUUAGAGCGUAGGUCUCGUAACAGAAAGGUUGCGGGAUCGAAUCCCGCUAGAGGCUG
rnacentral:tRNA from 1 species